ACUCCCUCCUUCUGCCGCCCUCUCCCGCGCCACCCAGCCCCCUACCCGCCACCGCGUCCCGGCUCCGUGCGUUCCCGCCCGAGGACCCGCGCAGGGCUCGGAGAGGCGCGUGGCUCGGCGCUUCCGCCGAGGCCCCGGGCCCUUCGGCGUGCGGCAGGUCUGACUCUCCGAUGCCACCUGCUGCUCAGGUCUGCAGAACCCCAGCACCGGUCGCAGUCACCCCAGUGCGGGUAGGGUAAUCCAGUGUUUCCCGGUAAGCCCCCACUCUCUGCCCUGUUCUCAGCAAGAUGCCUGGAAGCUGACGUUCCAGAGGCUUCUUCGGAAAUGCUCCCCCUCCUUUCCAGAUAGCCCAGGAAUCAGAGGUGGCGGGUGAAACUCAGAAAAGUCAUGAACUUGCCUAACUCUCCUACCGAGAUCCUUUGCCCCGUUAAUUUUACCCGCCUUUAUGUGACAGGGACUAACAGAGGACUGUGGCCCUCCCCCCCCUUCCCCUUCCCCAAGCCUCCCUCCAGUCACCAGCUUUCCUGCUCUUCAAUUAUUGACAAGCUGCAGUGUUGGAAGUUCUCGGGUUUAAAGACGGGGUGGGGGCGGGGUGGGGGCUCCUUAUCCGCCCUCUGAGCAGGAGCUGUGCCCAGGGAAUGGUACCUCAACUCCCACCCCAAAACGUCUUUCCCUCCUCCUUGCCGCCCCCCCACCCCAGCUUCUCCUGAGUGAAAACAUUAAAAAGUGCUGGAGGAAGUUGGACAGAAACUUUCACAAGCCAGCUGCACAGUUAA